GGUAAGGAACAGGGAAGGGAAAAACCAGGGGAAGGGGAGAAGGGUGCGUCCUGGCAGGGUCAGCACAUGGGAGCUCGGUGCCAAGCUCAGCAAGCUGCAUGCAGGAGCCCAGCAGUUGGAAGCGGUGUGUCCUUCCCACCCUACCCAGAUGCUCUCGGAUCCCACACGCCCAGUGCCACCAGUCCGGGUGCAGUCUGGUUUAUGCUCCACCAUUUCGGAUCCAGUUUGCCAACAUGUAUCGACGGCCCCGGGAUGCUUCUGUGCCCACCCAAUGGUCACGGUGCUUUGUGUCCCCUGCUCAGCAUCCCAUCCCAUCCUGACCCACAAUGCCACUGCUCACGUUAAUCUCGUUCCUACAGAUACCGUGACCUAUUUACAUCUAUAUAAAUAACCCAAAGGAGAGGAAGAAAAGAGAUGGGAAAGGUACUCUCUUCUCUUUCAUGCAGUUUGACACACGGGUUUUGGCACAGAUAAAGUUUGAUCCAGGAUUUAAGUCAACCCUCCCAGCACUUCCUUGGCACAGUUACAACCCUUGGCCAGACUCAGCUUUCUCUAUCCAAGUGCCCAUUGAGCAUCAGUGUCCAGGCAGCAUUGGGCUGCCUCAGUCCUUCACCUGCCUCUGAAUCUGGUGAGCAGAUUAAUGCCCAUCAGCAUCCCUCAGCAUUGCCAAGGAGGAUGCCCAGAGCCAUCCUGCUCAGAGCUGUCAUAGCUGCUAUGCUGCAUUCUGGCCCCAAGCUUUCACCCCAAGGACAGGACAAGCAAUGUGAGCACAGCCUACAACAAGGGCAGCCGGGAUGAAAGGAAGCAGAGUCCAAAGGAACACAAGGCAGUGUCUGCUUUCUGUCCCCUGUGCAUGAGCUGGUGGCAAUGCAUCCUGCUCCAGCCACGUUUCUAUACUGGGGCAGGGAAACCUGAACAAACGAGGGCAGUGCAGGGGGUGGGCUUCCCUACAUCACACUUCACCCAGCUGCUAAGGAAGAGAGAAGAAAAAAGCUUCCCCUGGGUACACACAGUUCCAGAAACAGCUGCAGAGUUUGGACAAAGGUUCUGAGUUCAAGCAACCACCGGCCUGAUCUUUUUUGGCACAAGCAUUUUGCUCGUGUCUGAGAGCUGCUUCACUCCUGCCUUUCCUGAGUCAUCCCAACAACAGCAUCGUGGUUCCUGCAGAGCGAAGCCUCACGAGGCAGCAAGAGGCAGAGAGCAGCACGGCGGGCAGCAGGGCUGGGGGCAGGCAGCUGGAGGGCUCCCUGCUGCAGCCAGAACAAGGAGAAAGGCAUUGCACAGGCAGGAGGCAGCAGCUCCUUCCAAAGAGCAGGAGCAGGGCUAUGCAUUUCAGUGCAAGGAAGCUGGGCUUGGGAGCUGGGAAGCCAAAACCACAUGUUGCAUCAAAAGAAGGCUUGUCACAGCCAGCUGGUUAAUGCAAAAGCUCUUUGCAGAGACAGCGAGGAAUGUCACGUCCGUCCCCUGGUAGAGCUGCUCAGCUUCAGCCACACACACACAUCCACACAGCACCCACCCUGCUCUGUGCCAGCUCCCAGCCCAGCCCUACAGUCCCAAAGCUGUGCACAGAGCAAGGGCUCACCUGGAGGGGUGCAGGAUUUGAGCAGCAAGCUGGAUAUGUCCAUGGUGUUUUCCCAGCCCACAACUCUGAUCUGAAGCCUCUUCCCUACCUGGCAUUUCCUAACAGCAAGGCUGGUUUUGUGUGAAGGACCCCACUUUGAAAAGCCUCAGGGUCCUUAAAGGUACAAUGAUCCCCUCUGCCUCCCAGCUCUGGAAAGCAGACACAUCCAGAGCAGAAGGCUGUGCACACCUGCAGAAGGAGCUUGGCCCACCUUCCCAUUGCAAACCUCACUAAGAGCCCAGCUCAGAGAUAUGAAAAGACAAGAGGAUGUUUUCCUACCUUUCCCACACAUAUUUAGCUUCUCGUGCCCUUCAUGCCACCCCACCCUGCAGUAACACCCACCUCCAUGCCACCCCACGGUGCUGCAACCACCACCAUCACAUCGUGCUCACAAUUCAUGUAGGGAAGGCCCUAUUCCUGUUCAGAUCCCAUCCCCACCCUCCUUGCAACCUCCAUGCCAGAGAAAACAAACCCAAACUGCGGGAAGAGAGACGGCAAGCCCCAACCCUCCCAAACAGCUCCCCUCCCUUCACACACCGCCUGGCAACGGGGCUGCAAGGAGGGGAGGGUAUAGGGGUGGGAAAUGGGUAUAGAUGGGGUAAAGGAAGGAGGAGUGGUGGGGAGGGGACGCCUGCCACAGCCGCUGGAGGGCGGUGCAGACCGCAGCUGCCCAUCCCCGCAUGCUCUGAGCUCCGAUGGGGGAGAACUCAAUGUGGUGCCCCGGGUGAGGGGGGGUGGGAUGCUGAGGGUCCGGCUUGGCACUGGUUCCAAUAGAUAUUGGCACAGCUGUUCCCUACCCGGCGUUAGGAUGGGUCCAGCUCGCAAUGCUGACGCCCACCCACCCGCUUUUGUGUCUGCGAUGUAAAGAGGAUCGUAAGUGUGUCCUGAGUGGGGGGGUGGGUGUUGUGGUGGUGGGGAAGUGUGGGAAAAGGAGCCCCCUUUUGUGCUCAAGGGGUGCGUGAAAUCUUUGGAAGCCGGUGCGCUGCCUCUGAGCCCCAUGUGAAAAAUCCAUUAGGAGGAGUCUGGGGAGAAUUAAAGCCACUGUGAAAAGCGGACGGGAGAAACAGGAGACAACGGAGCACAGGGAGGGGGGGAAACAAGCCAGGCUUUAAUGCCGGCACAAAAAGCCUCCCCCUGGCUGCUGCCCCCAGCCCUCGUAAAAACAGGGAGUGCUGUAUGAAUAGGAAUUAGAGCAGCGAUGCUCGCUGCCCGCUCUGCCAGCUGUUGCAUUCAGCUCAGCUUCCUGUCCCUGUGCCAGCUCAGGGCAGCAGCUGGGAGCCCAGUGACAAGGGACAGCCCUGAGCUUUGCUUUGAUCCCAUGGAAAUAGGGAGUGGGUCCGGCAGUGCCCAUGGGUGCAGCAGCACCAGCCUUGGGGAGAUGAAGGUGCCAAUGCCCAUCGCAGGGGUGGCUUCAAUAUACAAGCCCUAUACUGCUUUUAAUGGUCGGUUUCUGAGGGAAAAUGAGACCUAUGCAAAUCGUGCUGCCUGUCCAUCAAUCCCUCCUGUAUGGCUUUUUGAACGUGGUGGCUGGCUUCAGUACUGAGAAGGAGCCAAACUUAUCCCUAUCAUAGAGCUCUCGGAUAGAGCGUGGGAUCUCUGGCAGAGAUGGGACCUAAACCUCAUUAGACAUCAGAGAAUCCCCCAGGGCAGGAGCUGCUCCUGAGGGCAGGAAGGGCCUAGAUCAGAAAAAAACAUAUUUUUAGACACCAAAUAAUCUUCCCAUGAUAGGCAGGAAAGCAGCUUUUAAAAGCCCUCCUGCACAUUGCGCUGCCGAGAUAUCUUAUGCCUUUGUGGGCACAUUAUUUUUUUGUUGAAGCCCCAUUUUGAUCUCCUUUCCUUCAAUCCUAAGGGCCAAGAAAAGAGCCAGCACCAGCAGAGAGUCUCAGGAGCCGGAGGCAUUGAGGGACAUGUGUCAACCCAAGCUGCUCCCUGCAUGGAGCUCUGGUUUCCUCCUGCCUGGCCAAGCCAAGCACCUGCUGCAGCACAGCAGGAUGGGGAGCAGGAACCUGAGAGCUCCCGGAUGCUGUCAGCAAACACAGCAAGGAUCGUUGCAUUUUAUUUCUUUGAGGAGACAGGUUGCAGACGGAAGCCUUUCCACCCUCCACACCCAAGCAGUGCAGGACUUUGACCUGUUCUGUUUGGCAGACCCGUGCAUGAGUCAAGGCAGGAGAUAGCAGCAGACUGGGCAUUCAUUUCAGAGCCUGCCUGCUUAGAGCCUCCCCCCACCUUCCCUGCUGCAAGGGGUCCAGCUUUCCUCCCAGCUGGAGGAUUCCUGUGCUGGAACAGGAUGGGGAAGGAGGCAGAGGGGUGGAAAAACCCCUGGCAACCCAUGCAGGAGUUCAGCAGCUGCUGCGGGUGUGUCAGAGUGUGACGGCUUUCAGGCCAGAUGCCAAAUGUGUCUUAGGCUUUAAUCUCUCUGUCAGGUCACCUAUCGCCCAUCAAUCAGGCACUGCUCCCGCGGGGCAUUGGCACAGAUGCCACUGGAUGGGCUGCAGCGGAUCCUGCUCACCACCAUCCACUGGAUCAGCAGCAGGUAGAGCCCCCCACCCUCAGCCUCCCCAAUGGGGCAGCCCUGAGCUGGGCUGGGGAUGCAGCUGCUGGGGAUGGGACCCUGUGCUUUGUGCACAGUGCUUUCUCUUGUGCUCAGAGCCGUCACAACCCCGCCGGCUGUGUGCAGUGACCUUGCUGUGCUGGCAUUGCUGGCGCUGUGUAAAUAACUCCCUGCUGCGAGCCAAGCAGAGUGGGGGGAGCUCCUGCAACCUCCCUCCCCGUCCUGCAGCCAAGGCCAAAGCUGCAGAGCUGCCCAUGUGUGCAGAGCUGAUGUGUACACGUGUGCCUACAGACCAGGAGAUGCACAUAUAUUGCUGCACUCAACCACAUUGAUGAGUGUGUACUCACCCAUACCAGUGCACCAGUGCUCAUGCAUGCAUGGCUGUGCAGCAGGGCAUCCCCAUGCAGGUAUAAAGCUCUAAGGGGUCCAUCUGCAUGUUGGGACAGAUGUAGAUAGGGAAUGCACACAGCUGUGUGCAUGUAUGUGACCUCCUCUCUGUGCAGGGCUGCCACGCAUGUGCACGCAGACCCAGGCAAUCCACACUCACUGCCUUUUAUAAUGUCACCCAGCUGCCCAUAAUAAAUAGUUACAUGUCACACUACAUGGCUUGCUUGCGACUGACAAAGGUCCUGCAAGGCAGGAGAAGCUAUUACAGGAACAGAUUGCGGGAAUAAAAUAUUAAAUUUCCACUUAUCAAUCUCCUUAAUGUGCUAUAACUCCAAGAGCACCAUUCAGCCUUCUCUUCCUGAACGAAUCACCUCCCAGCUGGGGCUGACCCAUCCCUGCUCCUCCUCCCUGGGGCUGGGAUGAAGGAUGCUGGGGUGGGAUGGGUAGAAAGGAGGGGAUGGCUGCUGCAGGUUUUUCUUUGCAUCAGCCUUCUGUGUUGUGUGUUUUUUUUCACUCCCGAGGCUGGCUGCUCACUAGAUUGAACUCCAUUUAUUGCAUGCAUCUCUUGAAAGAGGUUUCGUGCUCCACUGACAAUCCCUAAAUUGCCUGCAAGACCCAAACAAAUGUACCUGUAAUAGCUGAGUGAGGAAGGCUGAGCCCUCCCCAGCACUGGCCUAAUCGCUCCAGAGGGAGAGCUGGAUAAACAUAUUCAGAUCCAAUGAAUUAUUAACAGUGUGGGGCUUUUCUUACACAAUGGAGCCCUGGCUUAACAUGUCAGCUGCUCAUCCCUCAUAAGGGGCAGUGGCUGCUGCGUCCCUCCAUCCUUCUCAUGUAACCUCAGCACCACAAUUCUGACUUUUGGGAAUAAAUUGGGACUGUGGGCAGGCACCACUGAGUCAUCCCCUAGAAAACUUGCCCAUUUUCCCUUUGCUGUGUGUUAGAACCUGUCCCCUGAAAACCACCAGGUUGCUGUCCCCAGUGACCAUAAACAUGAUGAUCUGGAGGGCAUCUUAUAUAGGUUAUAGGCUAUAGGAUAUAGGUUAUAUAGGAUGUAGGUUUUGGAAAUGAUUUUUGGGGGCUUGGGGCAGGGAUAUGGCAUAGAGGUGCUGCCCCACAUCUGUGCUCAACACAGAGCUCUAUUGGUCUGAUUCCUUCCACCAGCAAACAAAAAGUCCCCGAGAAAGAGGCAAAACAACAAAGCAGGCACAGAUCCAGGACAGGAGGUGCAAAUUAAAGGCCCUCUACAACAAUAAUGAUCAUAAAUAAAUACUUCAUAAGCAGCAUCUACUCAGCACAUCCCAUCCACUGACCUCCCAGUGCUCAGAUAGCAGAAGAUCAUCCCGGUUUCCCCACACUGCAGAGCAGGGAACUGAGCAGUGAGGUGCCAAUUGGAGGCUCAUUGGAGGUCAGAGCCCAGCCCAACUCAUUCUGCUCCCCAGCUCCUCUGAGCAGAGCAUCCCCAAUAGCAGUUACUCUGCUCCACCUGCUGCUUGGCCACGGUCCCCUUGGGAUGCAGGGGUAUCUGAUAGAGAGCAGCACGGAGCCCCCGGCGCAUCACCCCCCAUCCUGGUGCAUCCUAUGACACCACUCCAUUCUGGAGCCCAGGUAAAGCUGUUCAUGGUGACACACACAGCACAGAGGAACACGGCGUUGGACGGAACACAAUGAAGAAAUCACUGAGUUGCCUACAGUCAGCAGCACCUGAACAAAUGGCUCGCCCAUCUCACUGUCCUCUCCCUGUUCCUCCCAACAAACACAUUGCUGACACAUCUUGGCUUUUAGCGUGCCCUAUCUGAGUCCAAAGCAGAAAAGAAGACAAGGGAGAAUGAGACUGAAUGCACCUUGGUGUGAGAAAGGAAAAGACGACGAGAGGAAAGGAGAAAAACCCAAGCACACCAGAGCAAGACCAGCACAAAGCAACGACUGUCCCCAUUCCCUUUGCACCACCAAACUCCCCACUGCUGGAAAGAGACGCUGGAGAUUGAGACAGACGAUAUGACAACAUUAAGGCUGGUAGAGGUCUUUCUCAAAGGGAAGCAGUGAUGCUGCUGGAAACACUCAAAAGGACAGCAGGCUAAAGACAGGCAAAUGGAUACACACACACACACAGAAUUCAAAGGGCAACUGGCUGCAGUAACAGGGAUGCUGGUGCUGUUGGCUGGGUCUGAGUGUGGUGAGAGCUGCCCAGGAGCACAGCAAGAGCUCAGGAUCCAGCUCUACAUGUGAGAAACUGCAGAACAAAGGGAUAAAGCCACUUGCCCAAAAGCAGAGAGAAAACCUUGGCAUCUCUUCUGCCUCGGGUGCCACACGGGGUAUCUUUUACCUCUAACACUUUCCUUGGCAAUGUUGAGAGGAACCCAGAGAGUCCCCUCGGAGCUUAAGAGAGCUGGCAGAACCAACAGAGAGAGCUGGGGAUGAGAAGCAGAAGAAAGGCAAGAAAAGAAAACAAUCCUCUUCAGAUUCGUAUUGUGAACAGUUUGAUCUGGAAGGGAAAUGAGAGCGAAUGCGCCUGGCUCUUUGCAAAGCCAUUUUGAGAACCUCUUUCUGACAAACGCCAGCUGAAAAGAAGAAAGCAUCCAUUUGA